rnacentral:sRNA from 1 species
UCCCUGUGCUGUAGUGAGGACGCCCGUC